UAUGCCAUUGUUUUGAUUUGGAAAUAAAAAAUUUAGUAUCUCCAUGUAUUUUGACAUUUUUAAUUAUUUUCUUCGGCACUAAAUUAUGAUCAAACAUUAAUCUUAACCUAAAAUUAAUAAAUACUAAACCUUUAUGUUACCUAUUGUGUUUUCAAUAUCUACUUUUCUGUUAUCAACCACUGAUAAUAUAAUAAUCGUGAUAAGUGCAAGGUAUAUGAAUAAAACCGUUUCGUUUUAAAUGGUGCACGAUAAUAAUAGAAGUAUAAUUUUUGUUUUAAUAUAAUGAGUCACAUUGUAAAAUAUUGAUGUUAGUGACUCAUUUUGAUGUGACUGUAGAUUGCAUCAGAUCAGAAAACUAUAAAAAUGCUGGAAUCCUUUGAUAAUACAUAUCAAGUCUCAUAAUAUUAUUAAUGAACAAAAGAAAUUUAUAUAAUGUAAAAAUUCUCAACUAUCGAUUCCCUAAUAGCUUUGUCUAGGACACCGUUGAAUAGAAGGCACGAUAUUCUAUCUCCCUGUUGAAGUCCUCUUUGUGUCUGGAAAAUUAUUGAUGUUCUGUUCUGCACUCUAACCUUACACUUGACUGUUGAAUGGGUUGCUUUUACCAGCAUCACUAAGUGUAUUGGAAUAUUAAAUUCUACCUUGGCUUUAUAUAGUGCGCUUCUGUCUUCACUGGUGUAGGCACAUCUAAAAUCCACAAAAUAAUGUGUCUUCGUUGGAUCCUUCGUUAAUUUGCUAUAAGGUCCAUUUGUAAUUAGAUCUGUAAUUUUG
rnacentral:lncRNA from 1 species